GAUGAAGAACGUAGCAAAAUGCGAUAAGUAAUGUGAAUUGCAGAAUUCAGUGAAUCAUCGAAUCUUUGAACGCACAUUGCGCCCGCCAAUAUUCUGGCGGGCAUGCCUGUUCGAGCGUCAUUUCAACCCUCAAGCACAGCUUGGUGUUGGGACUCGCGUUAAUUCGCGUUCCCCAAAUUGAUUGGCGGUCACGUCGAGCUUCCAUAGCGUAGUAGUAAAACCCUCGUUACUGGUAAUCGUCGCGGCCACGCCGUUAAACCCCAACUUCUGAAUGUUGACCUCGGAUCAGGUAGGAAUACCCGCUGAACUUAAGCAUAUCAAUAAGCGGAGGA
rnacentral:misc_RNA from 1 species